UACAGAGGGUGCAAGCGUUGCUCGGAUUUACUGGGCGUAAAGCGUACGCAGACGGCUUGGUAGGUCGGAUGUGAAAGCCCCGGGCUCAACCCGGGAAUUGCAUCCGAAACCACCUCGCUCGAGUGUGGGAGAGGGAAGCGGAAUUCCUGGUGUAGAGGUGAAAUUCGUAGAUAUCAGGAGGAACACCGGCGGCGAAGGCGGCUUCCUGGCCCAUUACUGACGUUCAGGUACGAAAGCGUGGGGAGCAAACAGG
rnacentral:rRNA from 2 species